AUGACUUGUCAUAUAUCUAACAACAAACAACUAACAACAAACAAUGCUUUAUUUUCAAUUUCAAAUAACUCAAACCACACCAUCAAUUCUAUUUAUUACGGUGAGACAACCAUAACCAAACACUAAAGCAACCAUUAAUUACCUUAACAACCAUUUAGACCGAAGCUACACCAUCUCAUUACAGACCAGAAGCUACACCAGCACAUUUUCGACCAGAUGAAAGAGAGAAAGACUAACCUGUGAUGCUGCGUAUUCUUCUGUAAAAUGACCCUUGCUUAAGCACACUUGAUCCA
rnacentral:lncRNA from 1 species